CUCAGCAACGAAUAUCUUGGCUCUUGCAUCGACUAAGAAUGUAGCGAAAUGUGAUAGCGAGAAUGGCAUAAUUUCAUGAAUCAUUGAGUCUUUAACGCAAGUUGUGCUUGAGGCCAUUGACGGCACAUCUA